CAGAGUUGAAAAACUCCCAAACCCAUGUGAACUUACCACUUGUUGCCUCGGCGCGUCGCCGCUCCUUCGUGAUGCGGCGGCCGCCGGCGGACCUCUAAACUCUUGUUAUUUUGAGUCAUCUGAGCGUCUUAUGUAAAUAAGUCA
rnacentral:misc_RNA from 1 species